rnacentral:rRNA from 1 species
CACGACUACAUUAGAUACCCCUGUAGUCCUAGCCGUAAACGAUACUCGCUAGGUGUCGGCCACGGUGCGACCGUUGUCGGUGCCGUAGGGAAGCCGUGAAGCGAGCCACCUGGGAAGUACGGCCGCAAGGCUGAAACUUAAAGGAAUUGGCGGGGGAGCACCACAACGGGUGGAGCUUGCGGUUUAAUUGGAUUCAACGCCGGAAAUCUUACCGGGACCGACAGCAACAUGAAGGCCAGGCUGAAGACUUUGCCGGAUUAGCUG